rnacentral:rRNA from 1 species
GGAGUCUAGCAUGUGCGCGAGUCAUUGGGACUACACUAAACCUAAAGGCGCAAUGAAAGUGAAGGUCCGCCUAGCGCGGACCGAGGGAGGAUGGGACGGUCUGCGGACCGACUCCGCACUCCCGGGGCGUCUCGCUCUCAUCGCGAGAAGAGGCGCACCCAGAGCGUACACGCUGGGACCCGAAAGAUGGUGAACUAUGCCUGGUCAGGACGAAGUCAGGGGAAACCCUGAUGGAGGUCCGUAGCGAUUCUGACGUGCAAAUCGAUCGUCGGAACUGGGUAUAGGGGCGAAAGACUAAUCGAACCAUCUAGUAGCUGGUUCCCUCCGAAGUUUCCCUCAGGAUAGCUGGCGCUCGUUGAGCGAGUCUCAUUCGGUAAAGCGAAUGAUUAGAGGCAUUGGGGUCGAAACGGCCUCAACCUAUUCUCAAACUUUAAAUGGGUGAGAUCUCCGGCUUGCUUGAACAGUGAAGCCGCGAGAAAUCGGAUCAGAGUGCCAAGUGGGCCACUUUUGGUAAGCAGAACUGGCGCUGUGGGAUGAACCAAACGCUGAGUUAAAGCGCCUAAAUCGACGCUUAUGGCAUACCAUGAAAGGCGUUGGUAACUUAAGACAGCAGGACGGUGGCCAU